rnacentral:lncRNA from 1 species
AAAAAAAUAGACCAUACUACCCCUAAACCUAGUAAAUAAAAUCACCAAAAACAGAGAAAACAGCUGCAACAACUAGAGAAAAAGGAAAAAAUAGUAGCUAAAAGAGGAAAAAGAGAUCCCCAAGUUCAAUUGGUCUCAAAAUCGGAUGUAAGUAUUCACUCACUUCUAUGCAUGUCUUCUAGUAAUUUUACCUGAGGUAUUAUGAAUUAUCAAGUGAGCUAGUUAUUUUAUUUUGUUGGUUAUGGGUUUCUCAUUUAAUCACCAAGUUGUGAUAUUUUAAAUUUUAUAAUCAAUGUAAAAUGUUUCCAUUUAUAUCACCAUGUGUUGACCUUUCAUUUCAUUUAUUCAUUUAUUUUUUCUUUACGAGACCUAAUCAAUAGCAUACAAAAAAUUAAAGAUUUGUUCAAGAUUCAUUGGAAAAACUAAAGAUAAGAGUGAUAAAGGAUACAAUUAAUUUCUUUGAUUUAGUAUUGCAAUCUCUGAGAUUUUAAGUUCUAAGCAAGAGAGCGCAUAAUUUAUCAUCUUAACCGAUGAUUUUGUCAUUCAAAAAUAUUCUCUGGCUCAUUCUAACUGGUAUCAAACUAUUCUUUUUGUCAUGUUAGAAAGAAACUUAAAUUGUUAAAGUCUUCAUUAUAAAUUUUGUUUCAAAUUCCUUAUAUUAGUGCUUUUGCUUCUUUUUUUUAAUCUCUUUUUAUGUCAGGUUUGUGAAGAAAAAGAGAGUGAGCAAUUAGUGCAGACAGUGUUCAAACAACAUAAACAAGAGUUGAUAGCUAAGAUCUAUCUCAGUGAGGAUACACAUAUAGAGUCUUCAUAUAUCGAAGAAAAAUUUGAAUUACCACUAUCAUCGUUAGGUUUGUCUUGAGCUAUUCUAUUAUAUGUAAAUAAAUUUUAAAUAUAAGUACAUUUGUCCAAGAUUAUUUUUGUCUUCAUGUUAUGAACUUCCCACAAUCCUACAUUAUUGCUACUCAAAAAACAAUUUAAUUUUCUCUUCAUAUGUUAUUCGUAGUAUCUAUAAAAAUGUUGAUUAAACUUUUUGCCCUUUCUUAAAAUACUCUACUAUAGACAAAAUUUUCAUUUACUAUUUUUCUCAAAUUAUUAUUCAGUUAUCUUUAUGAUAUUGAAUCUUAAAAUAUAUGAGAAGAACGAUCACUCCUAAUAUAUAUGGUAAAAAGAAAUAUAAACUAACAUGUAAAAAUUUAAGGAUCGCUAAAAUAAUGGUAAGAGAAAAAUAUAUGGUACGGUAUACUAAAAGAAUUAAUAAGGAUAAUUAAUGUCAAUAAAAGGACUCCUAAAAGAUAUAGUAAUCUAUAAUACAUUUGAACUCCUUUUCUACUUAAACAAUGAAUCAUAUAAUAACAUGAUAUUUGAUGAUAUGUAUGUUUCAACAACGUAGUAUUUGCUUCGCACCUAGUAUUAGCUUAGAUUUUUGUUUAAGAUCAAAAUGAAUGACAAAUUUAUGAUUGAUAUUUAAUCUAUUUGUAAUACUUAAUCAAAUUUAUACAUUACAAUUUUAAGAAUUAUUUAAUAAAAGAUUCAAGUUAGCUAAAUAUUUAUUCACAUUUAAGCUAAAUCUAAUUUCGAGUAUAGCUAGUGAUUCUCGAAGAAUAUGAUAUGUGAAAAUGUAUUAAAGAGGAGUGUGAAUGAACUAAUAUUAUUCACCUUAUUUGAAAAUUUUAAAGUUUGAGUUGGAGAUGGAGUGAGAAUUGUGUUGGGAAUAACAUGUACGUCUAAUGUUGAUUGAACUUCUUACCCUUCAUUAAUUUUUUUUUACAAUAGAUAAAAUUGUCAUUUACUAUUUUACUCAAAUAAUUGUCAUAAUUUUUAUGCUAAUAUUUAGGACAUGAAAUGUAAUUAAAGUUAUAGUUAUUAAACUUACUUAUUUGUAAUAUGUAAGAACUUCUAAUAUUUAUUACUUUAAAAUUGACUCAAAUUCUAUUUCUUAAAUAUUUUUUUAUUUGAACUAUAUUAAAAGUCCUAACAUUAAGACUUUAAAAUCAAUAGUUUUACCUGAUAUAAAUCUUAUUUGAAUUAUAGUAAACGAAUUAAAAAUAUUAAAGAAAGAGAUUCACAUAUUUUAAACUAAAAUUUUAACUUUCAUGUGAAAUGCUUAUCAUCUGGAUAGAUAUAACAUUUAUUUUAAUGUCGAUUGCUAUUAUAAAAUAAUUUUAUUAUUUUAAUAUAUAAUUUUAUUAAUUGAUGUAAGACACACGUGCAAAGCACGUCCACUAAAUUAGGUCUAAUGAAAAACCUAUAUUAAAAAAGAAGAAGUUAAGAUUAGAAAAAAGAACUAAGCAGAAGGAUUCAAUACUCUUAUACAUCUAGUGAUUUGAGAUCUAACAAUGAAAAUUGUUAGUAAAUCCAAGAAAGUUCUGAAAAUCUAACUAAAAAGCAUAUUUUUACAAUAGGGUAAUCUGUUGAAGGAAAAUUAGAAAAUAUAACUUGAAUGUAAAAAGCGUGUUUUCUAAAACUGGAGUCAAAAUGAAUAGUAUGGGUUGUAAAUCUAUAGGAAAAGUACAUAAUGUGCAAUUCAUUUAUAGACUUAACUAAAUCACAAAGUAAUAAAAAUAUUGUUGCCUAUAGAUUAUGCUACUUUCUUCUAAAAGUUUCUCAAACAUAUUUAGUCAAACCACCUUAUUUUUCCUAAUUCCUUUGUAAUAGCAAAAAAUAAGACUGUACACCAAUAAAAGACUAGAAUGAAAAUGGUAAAUUUUAAAGCGAAAUGCAUUGCAACUUUAAAAAAGGGAAUGGAAAGACUUCUCAAGAAAGCACAUAACUUUGAUUACAACGGGAACAUGUGUUGUCAUUCCUAUUUAUUCUCCUAGUGGUAAACUAUAAUUUUAUGAUUCCUCUAAUAAUUUUACUAUAAUAGAUGAUCUCCUAAACCAAAAUUUAGAGAAUGUUGUCGUUGAUCCAAUUGACGUGAAGACUUACGUGGUCAAUGAAAUUACAAUUUAAUAAUUUAAUAGAUCUAAGUCAUUGGUUUGAUAGUCACUAGGGAAAAGUUUAUCCAUCUUAUUUACUUUUGAAUUGCCAGUAAAGCUCGUUUUUUUCAAUAUGUGAAUUAUUCUAUUGGUUAAUUGUUGUCCUCUCAUUUUUAGUUGCUUGAUAAUUUUAGUCGUAUCUUUCAGUCCUCCAUGAUAUUAAACUAUGAAGCAUAAAGUCUUAUGGUGUACUUUUUUCCUUUCUACUUCAUCGGAUGACCUAAUAAAAUAAACUUUUCUCGGUUAAAGAAUUUGACUCUUUUCUAUUAAGUCAAUUCCUUUAAUAGAAAGUACUUUAUUUUAUUAGAAUGCCCUUAUAAGGGAGAAAAGGAAAAAUACACCACAAAAUAGACUAAAACUUGAAAGACAACAAUCAACCAUCCGAAAGACUAACAUAUUCAAAACAAAUAUACUUCACUAACAAUUCUAAAGUAAAUAAAACAAGAUGGAUAAAUUUUUCUCUAAUGACAAUCGAAUCAUUACCCAACUCUAUUUAAUUGCAAAUUAAUGAACCGUAUAAACCUUCACAUCAUCUCGAUCAACAACAAUGUUCUCUAAAUUUUGAUUUAGGAAUGUAUCUAUUGUAUUAAAAUUAUAAGAAGAAUCAUAAAAAUAUGAGUUACCACUAGGGGAAUAAACAAGAAUAACAACAUGUUCUCCCGUUGUAAUUGAAAGUUUAUGUGCUUCUUUGAUAAGUCUUGGCAUUCCCUUUUUGAAAGUUGCAAUGCGUUUUGCAUUAGACCCAAUUAUCUUCAUUUCAGUCUUUUGUCAGCGUAAAUGUUAUUUUCUACCAUUACAAAGACAUUAGAGGAAAUAAGGUGGUUUGACUUAAUAGAGUUAAGAAACUUUUAGAAGUAAAUUGCGUAAUUUAUAGGCGAAAAUAUUUUUAUUUCUUAGAUAACAACCUUAGUUUCAAACUCGAUUUGAUCAACAAAAGCAAUAUUUAGUUACUAUGCAUAUACUAAUCCAAAGUAUUAAAAUUUUACUUUCCGCACAUGUUUUAGAAAUAAAGUUCUGAUGAAUUACGACUGAGAGUAAUAUUCUCAUUAUAUUCUUUAUCGAUUUUGACCCAGCCUUAUUGGGUUUUAUUGUAACACCCCGCAACUAGAAAGAGCUAGAAUUAGAAAGAGUCAUUUUUGGAAAGAAUGAAAAAUCUGGAAAUUUGACAAAGUUAAGUUAAGAAUGAGUUUAUGGUCAACUUCAAACCACAAUAACUCCUAUCUCAGGAUGAUUUAGGUGUGCUACAAGGUACCGUAGGAAAUAUCUUUGAAUUUUCUUUCCAACGCCACAGAGUUUGAUCAGUUUUGAGUUCGUAUGAGUGAGAUAUGCCCAUUUGAAGUUGGGUUGUCUAGAUAAGGAAAGUCAAAACUAGAUUUUAGAAGGGUAUUAUGGUCUUUUCACUACCCAAUCAGCUUAAUUCGUGUUUGUUAAUUACUGAGGGGUCCAAACAGAAUUAGAUCAGUUUACGCUUUACCAAAUUACGCUAGGGUUUUUGGAGAAAGAACUCAAGAGGAGAAAGGAGAAGAAAAGGUCUAGAUUCGUCGUCUUCGUGAGGAAUUGAUUGCAGAUUUCACCAAGGAUUCAAUCCUACAUGGUAUGUGAGUUCAUAUAGCGUUGGGUUCGUUCAUCCACGCGCCCAACAUGUUUAUUUCAGUAUGAUUUUCAUCCUAAAAGAUAGAGACUUUGAUGUUCUUGAGUUGUAUUCUUGAAUUGCUUUCGUUCUUGAAUUUGGCGUGAGAUUGAAGAGUUCUUCAGAGUUUAAGGUCUAUUUUAGAGUUGUGUUUGAUUAGAUUCUUGUGUACAUAUGUUGGGUAUCUUAAUCUAAAGAGGAAUUGCGAAAUAUAAUCGAAUUUAGGUGAAUUGGGGUUAGAAAACAAAGAAGGAACAAGUCAGGCAAAUCUGGGUACCAGGUCCGCGUCGCGGACCUAUUCCUCAGGAUUGAAAAAAUUUUCUCCGCGUCGUGGAGUGAUCACGGACCUUUCUGCCUCAAAAAUUAUUUCGCGACCAAAUAAGUAAAAGUUGUCCGCAUCGCAGACUUGCUUACAGACAUUGAUUUCUUGAUCUUUUCUCAUGUUUAACUAUCUAAAAACACUCCUAAACAUCAUGAGAUCUUUCCUAUCACAAACCACAAUCCUUGAAUCUAUAAUUCAAUUCAAGGAAAGUUAAGAGAAGUUAAGAGACAAGUCAAGAGAAGUUCAUUGAAUUUUCCAAAAGUCCUUCACAAAUAUUUUAACUUUGUUUUAAGACAAAAGCUUUGAGUUGAGUAAAGAGUAAGAGUAAAAUUCAUUUUUUCAAAGAUUAUACGGGAACUAAGUAUUCCCAAGAGUUAAAAUGUUUUCACAUUUGAGCAAUAAAGGAAACACUGAUUUCCAAGAGAGUUUUUAAGCUAAGUUUUGACUAAUUAUCUCAAACCAAAGAAAGAGUUUUGUUUUAAAAAAUAUGAGCUGAGUAUAUUUUUGGGGAGUAGUAUUGAGCACCGAUAUGGGGACGCGGAUUCAUAAUAACUCAAGUCUCCAUAAACCAUGUAGCCAUCAUGGGUAGAAAAAAGAUCAUACUUUUUAGAUGAUUCCUAAGUGUUGUUUAGCAUAGACUAGUGGAUCCACUUAGUUAAGGCGUUUUAUAUGACGACAAAAUAUAGAACAAUUCUGGUAGCGUGGGCAAGACGUUGUAUUAUCACUUAGGCUCAUAGUGGUGGUUGUCGGUUAGAGAAACUCCCACAAUAUUAUAUUACUUUAUAUGUAAACCAAGUUGUUAUUGCAUUUCUUUAGCAAAUUGAGUUGCUACCUCUUGUUUUAAAAGCUUUGUAUAACUGCACUAUUAUUGUUGUUUACUUUGCAUUUGAGUUGAGUUAUUUCAUGAGUUGAGUAAAGCAAAGGUAAGUGCUCUUUUCAGAUUCCUUUCAAGCUUAUGUCUUGUUUAGUAUUCCUCUCGCAUACUCGUACUUUCAAUGUACUGAAGUCAUUUGGCAUGCAUCGUUUUAUGAUGCAGCCACAGGUAACUAGGAUCAUCAUCCAGCGCCUCAUUGAUCCAGUUGAGUUCAGAGUCAGUUGGUGAGCCUCCUUGCUAUCUGAAGGACUCCUUUUACUUUGUUUUUAGUAUUUAAGUUGGUAGGAUGAUCGGGGGUCCUGUCCUGACAUCCCUCUUUAUUUUAGAGGCUUCAUAGACGAGUAGUUAUAGUUCUUUAGUCUUUUCGUUUUUAGUUGAAUACGUUUAAGGCUUGAGUUGCCAUUUUGGCUAAGUUUAAUAUUUUUUUAAGAUAUUGCAUUAAUUAUCAUUUUUAGACUAUUUCUUGUGUUUAAACUUCCGCUGAGUAAGUAGGCCAGACCAAGGGUUUGCUUAGGGCCAACAAUGGUUCUCGAGUGCCAGUCCCGCCCAUAGUGUAGGCUCAGGGCGUGACAAACUUGGUAUCAGAGCACAGAGGUCAAGAGUCCUAGGGAGUCUAUGAAGUCGUGUCUAUAGAGUCCUAGUUAAUAGUGUGCAGCGCACCACAUCUAUAAUUAGGAGGCUCCAACACUUAGGAAAUUACCUUACUUCUUUCACACUCAUUUCGUUCAUUAGAGUUUGAUUUCAAAAAAGUUUCUUCUAAUUUGUGCUUGUGCGUGUCUUUCAGUUAAUUAUGCUUCCACGAAGAGCUGUCCGAGGUCGUCCUACAAGGAGGAACGUUGAGGAGCAAGGGGUACCUAAUGCACC